AGCGUAUAUUAAAGUUGUUGCAGUUAAAAAGCUCGUAGUUGAACUUCGGGGUUCACCCAUUGGUCAGGCUUAAUUGUCUGUACUGGUGAGAUGAGUCUCUACCUUCUGAGGAACUUUCAUGCCAUUUAUUUGGUGUGGUUGGAAAUCAGGACUGUUACUUUGAAAAAAUUAGAGUGUUUAAAGCAGGCUAACGUCUGAAUACAUUAGCAUGGAAUAAUGAAAUAGGACGGAUUGAUUCUAUUUCGUUGGUUUCUAGGGACACCGUAAUGAUUAAUAGGGAUAGUUGGGGGCAUUAGUAUUCAAUUGUCAGAGGUGAAAUUCUUGGAUUUAUUGAAGACUAACUACUGCGAAAGCAUUUGCCAAGGAUGUUUUCAUUAAUCAAGAACGAAAGUUAGGGGAUCGAAGACGAUCAGAUACCGUCGUAGUCUUAACCAUAAACUAUGCCGACUAGGGAUCGGACGCAGUUAAUUUUAUAAUGACG
rnacentral:rRNA from 1 species